CAGUCGCCGCGGUAAUACGAAGGGGGCUAGCGUUGUUCGGAUUUACUGGGCGUAAAGCGCACGUAGGCGGAUCGAUCAGUCAGGGGUGAAAUCCCAGAGCUCAACCUGGGGGCUGCGCUUGAUACUUGGUUGCUUGAGUGGGGAAGAGGGUCGUGGAAUUCCCAGUGUAGAGGUGAAAUUCGUAGAUAUUGGGAAGAACACCGGUGGCGAAGGCGGCGACCUGGUCCUUGACUGACGCUGAGGCGCGAAAGCGUGGGGAGCAAACAGGAUUAGAGACCCCGGUAGUCCCUGUCUCUUAUAA
rnacentral:rRNA from 1 species